GCGGUGCGAAGCCCCCGGGGCAGCUCAGCGCGGCUCCCGCUGCUGCCAUCGCCCUCAGCCUGGCUGCGAAGGGCAGCCCGGGCCGCCGGCGGGUCCCGCUUCUCCCUCCCAGAGCUAUCGAUAGUUGUAAGCGUUUUUGAAAUCACCGCAAACAUCUGGAAGGUAUGAGUGUACCGGAUUUGUUUUCAGCCGCAAAGCAGACCCCAAUCCCAAACCCUCCAAUUCUGCUUCAUCCACGCGCUCUUUGAUACACCCAUGGGACAGGAGACAGAGUUUACUGUGGUGAGCCUGGAAUUAUGUGCAUGCUGAUUGACAUGCUAGUGUGCAAGUAUCGCUUGUCCCACCAGCUGCUGCUGCAGGAAUGGCUCUACCCACUUUCUUUCCUGUACCUGACUGCCUAAAUGUUGUAGCUAAGAUAACAGCAACGCCACCAGAAGCCUGUUCUGUGAUACCACCAAAUGUGUUUCUGAUCUGAACUGGAGGACAUGUCCUCAAGAUCCAAUCCAAAAUCUACAACCAUCUUUUUGUAACUUCUUUCUGUAACACUUGUCUGACCUGGUUACCACCUGCAGUAGUAUUUGAACUGAGGUACAUAAACUUUUAGGUUUGCUUUUUUGGCCAGUUUUUCCACUAGGGUGAAACACUGCUGCCUACCUUUGUUAUAACUACUCAAUUGACUGUGUAGAG
rnacentral:lncRNA from 1 species